rnacentral:rRNA from 1 species
UACGUAGGUGGCAAGCGUUGUCCGGAUUUACUGGGCGUAAAGGGCGUGCAGGCGGUUUGUUAAGUUCAAGGUGAAAGCUCCCGGCUCAACUGGGAGAGGUCCUUGGAUACUGGCAGACUUGAGGAGGGUAGAGGAGAGUGGAAUUCCCGGUGUAGUGGUGAUAUGCGUAGAUAUCGGGAGGAACACCAGUGGCGAAGGCGGCUCUCUGGGCCCUACCUGACGCUGAGACGCGAAAGCGUGGGGAGCGAACAGG